UGUGCUCUAGGGUGAUCUCCAGUUUCUCUUUCUACUACAAAAACAGUAAGUAAUUUGCAAGAUGGGGGAGUGGGGGUGGAAAAGGAUAAAGUUUGUCCAGUGGGACGUGCUGAUGUCUUUUCCGGGGAAAUCUCUCUGGAGAAUCAGCCUGGUGACACACAUAUAACAGGGUCUUUCCAGCCCUGCUGACACAUCUCACAGUUUUUCACUUUGUGUAGAAGCAGAGACAAAAGACCCUUCUUUUAUCUCCCGCAGUUUCAUUUGGGUCUCAGUACCAGCCCGCGCACAUGGCACGCCUCGUUCUUGCUGAUACAACUGUUCUAUUUUUCAGCAGUGCAGCUGGCAAGCCUGGAAAUGGCAGAAACAUGACCCAAGGGCCUGCCAUUGCACACUGCAUUACAUGUGAUAGCCAAAGCUGUUCGGCUUUUCGCACCACUAGAAAUUCAAUAGGGAUGUGUUACAUUAGCACAUGUAACAAUCCUGGCUGGUAGCAAGCCUACGGUUUCUUUGUGUUUUUUUCCCCCCACUGCUCUACUGUCUUUGCAGAAGACAUUUUUAUUUAGUGUGCUGUACCUCCAUUUGAAGCAAAUGUGCCAACCUUCUCUUCCCCCCGCCCGGAAGGCUUGGGUUUUGUUUUUGUUGUUAGUGGUGAUGGUUUGUUUUCAAAGUACAGCCUUCCUGAUAAUUUUGCCAAUAGGAUUCCUUAUAGCUGUAUUAGCAAACACACCCUCGUUCACAUACAGAUAAGCGUGCAAAAUGCACAUAAUGUCCGAUUUAUUAGCUUGGGUCACGUGAUAGUAUCAAGAAUUGAUGUUAACACUAAGUGGCAUUAGCAGUACCUUCCUAUCAGAACAACGUUCAUUGUCAGUUACACUACUAGAGCAGCAGUUGUGCUACAUUAUAAAUAAUUAUAUUAUCCACAUUCAGCUUGUAUCGUUGUACACAAUGCUGGUACUAUAUCACACUUCAUUAACAUGCUAGACAGGACAGCUCCCACAGAAAUACAUUUCCUGACACUUUUCAUUUGAAAUAUUAUUCUACUAAUUAAUAUACUGUAGAUCAGAAAUUACACAAGCCGGGUAAAAAUUAGCUUUCCUAUAUUAAUAGAGGAAGAGCAUUAAUUAAAAUCCAUUCUCCUGAAAAUUAUCACUUUACAAACUUACAGAGAAGCUGUCAAGGUUGGUAAAUCCCAGAUUUGACACCCUUUGUUUUCCUGUCUCUCUCUGCAAAGUCCCUAUAAUUCUCCGUGUCUUUGUCAUCACAAAAACGUAAUUGCUCUUUAAAAACAAAUCAGCAACCUGGCAUAUAAGAACAAACCUAUGAUACCACAUCAGUGUGAUUAUGGAAUGGAGGUAACCAAAGAGGUCUUGUUCCUUUUUCCAGAGGGGAGGGGCAGGAAGUGGUUGCUACAUUAUUAAAUAUUACUUGUUUAAAUUAUUGUGCCUGGUGCUGUAUAAAACAUGAUGAGCUCUGCUUCUUUCUUUGAUCAGUCCUUCCUGGGUGGGACAAGCUCUGCCAGGAGCCUGUCAAAGGUGGGGAAGAGGCAACACUCUACCUCCUAUUCCCUCUGUCCCUUGCUUCCCUCCUUCCAAUAGCUCUGGCACCACAUCUCUUACAAGGCCAGAGCAGGAGACUUGUGCUGACUAGACUGUGUUACUGAUUCCUCAGACUCAUGUUGCAAUGUUGUCACCUGACAAGUUUGGCACAUGGCUUGUGUGAAACAUACGCUGGCUAUAUGGUAAGGGAGAAGUGGAGCAGCACAAAACAUUUCACAGUGAGGAAAGACCAUGUCUGAGAUAAACAUUUGUAGUUUUAAAGAACCCAACCCCAUUGUUUGAUGAGAAGAAAAGCCAGAACCUUUCAGAUGUUCUGAAAAGAAGUUCUUAGGACAUCAGGACAGCCUAU